UUGCUUUGGAAGCACAUAUACUAAAAUUGGUACAAUACAGGUAACAUUAGUACAACCCCGGUGCAAGAAUCACAUGCAAAUUCGUGAAAGGUUCCACAUUUUU